rnacentral:rRNA from 1 species
UAGUAGUAGUUAUGUUCUUGAAAAUUAAAAAAGUUGGCGGUAUUUUAGUCUAUUUAGAGGAACCUGUCCUAUAAUCGAUAAUCCACGAUUUGAUUUACUUAUUAUUUAAGUUUGCAUAUCGCCGUAGAUUGAAUAUUUUUAAAGAAGGUUAAUGUUCAAUAAGUUUAUAAGAAAAAAAUUCAGGUCAAGAUGUAGCGUAUGAAUGAGAAGAGAUGGGUUACAAUAAAUUGAUUUAUAAUGAAUAAAUGAAUUUAAUUUUAUUUUGAAGGUGGAUUUAAAGGUAAU